rnacentral:pre_miRNA from 1 species
UUAACUCAAAUUCGUAUGGAGUUGUAAUGUUUGCCUACGUUUGUCGCUAGGAUCGCUGUUUCAACUGUGUACAAAUUUGAGUUA